rnacentral:rRNA from 1 species
UAAAUCAAAACUUUCAACAACGGAUCUCUUGGUUCUGGCAUCGAUGAAGAACGCAGCAAAAUGCGAUAAGUAAUGUGAAUUGCAGAAUUCAGUGAAUCAUCGAAUCUUUGAACGCACAUUGCGCCCGCCAGUAUUCUGGCGGGCAUGCCUGUUCGAGCGUCAUUUCAACCCUCAAGCACAGCUUGGUGUUGGGACUCGCGUUAAUUCGCGUUCCUCAAAUUGAUUGGCGGUCACGUCGAGCUUCCAUAGCGUAGUAGUAAAACCCUCGUUACUGGUAAUCGUCGCGGCCACGCCGUUAAACCCCAACUUCUGAAUGUUGACCUCGGAUCAGGUAGGAAUACCCGCUGAACUUAAGCAUAUCAAUAAGCGGAGGA